rnacentral:rRNA from 1 species
GGUAGCGAAAAUUCCUUGUCGGGUAAGUUCCGACCUGCACGAAUGGCGUAAUGAUGGCCAGGCUGUCUCCACCCGAGACUCAGUGAAAUUGAACUCGCUGUGAAGAUGCAGUGUACCCGCGGCAAGACGGAAAGACCCCGUGAACCUUUACUAUAGCUUGACACUGAACAUUGAGCCUUGAUGUGUAGGAUAGGUGGGAGGCUUUGAAGUGUGGACGCCAGUCUGCAUGGAGCCGACCUUGAAAUACCACCCUUUAAUGUUUGAUGUUCUAACGUUGACCCGUAAUCCGGGUUGCGGACAGUGUCUGGUGGGUAGUUUGACUGGGGCGGUCUCCUCCUAAAGAGUAACGGAGGAGCACGAAGGUUGGCUAAUCCUGGUCGGACAUCAGGAGGUUAGUGCAAUGGCAUAAGCCAGCUUGACUGCGAGCG